GUAUCAGUGGUUUAGUGGUAAAAUCCAUCAAUACCACCGAUGAGACCCGCGUUCGAUUCGCGGCUGAUGCA
rnacentral:tRNA from 1 species